GGACGAACGGCUGGCGGCGUGCUUAACACAUGCAAGUGGAGCGACGAACCGGGGCCUUGCCCCGGGGGCAGAGCCGCGAACGGGUGAGUAACACGUGGGUAACCUGCCUCAAUGAUUGGGACAACCCGGGGAAACUCGGGCUAAUACCGCAUAAGACCACAGUAACUUUGGUUACAGGGGUUAAAGACUUCGGUCGCCUUUAGAUGAGUCUGCGUCCGAUUAGCUAGUUGGUGAGGUAAAUGGGCUCACCAAGGCGACGAUCGGUAACUGGUCUGAGAGGACGGCCAGUCACACUGGGACUGAGACACGGCCCAGACUCCUACGGGAGGCAGCAGUAGGGAAUUUUGCACAAUGGAGGAAACUCUGAUGCAGCGACGCCGCGUGAGUGAUGAAGGCCUUCGGGUCGUAAAGCUCUGUUCUCAGGGAAUAAAAAAUGAAGGUACCUGAGGAGAAAGGACCGGCUAACUUCGUG
rnacentral:rRNA from 1 species